UACGUAGAGGGCAAGCGUUGUCCGGAUUUAUUGGGCGUAAAGAGCUCGUAGGCGGCUCGGUAAGUCGGAUGUGAAACCUCCAGGCUCAACCUGGAGACGCCAUCUGAUACUGCCGUGGCUUGAGUCCGGUAGAGGAGUAGGGAAUUCCUGGUGUAGCGGUGAAAUGCGCAGAUAUCAGGAGGAACACCAGCGGCGAAGGCGCUGCUCUGGGCCGGUACUGACGCUGAGGAGCGAAAGCGUGGGGAGCGAACAGG
rnacentral:rRNA from 1 species